GACGAACGCUGGCGGCGUGCUUAACACAUGCAAGUCGAACGGUAAGGCCCUUCGGGGUACACGAGUGGCGAACGGGUGAGUAACACGUGGGUGAUCUGCCCUGCACUUCGGGAUAAGCCUGGGAAACUGGGUCUAAUACCGGAUAGGACCACUGCCUGCAUGGGUGGUGGUGGAAAGCUUUUGCGGUGUGGGAUGGGCCCGCGGCCUAUCAGCUUGUUGGUGGGGUGAUGGCCUACCAAGGCGACGACGGGUGGCCGGCCGGAGAGGGUGAUCGGCCACACUGGGACUGAGAUACGGCCCAGACUCCUACGGGAGGCAGCAGUGGGGAAGAUUGCACAAUGGGCGCAAGCCUGAUGCAGCGACGCCGCGUGAGGGAUGACGGCCUUCGGGUUGUAAACCUCUUUCAGCACCGACGAAGCGCAAGUGACGGUAGGUGCAGAAGAAGGACCGGCCAACUACGUGCCAGCCGCCGCGGUAA
rnacentral:rRNA from 1 species